UACGGAGGAUGCGAGCGUUAUCCGGAUUUAUUGGGUUUAAAGGGUGCGUAGGCGGGCUUUUAAGUCAGCGGUAAAAAUUCGGGGCUCAACCCCGUCCGGCCGUUGAAACUGGGGGUCUUGAGUGGGCGAGAAGAAGGCGGAAUGCGUGGUGUAGCGGUGAAAUGCAUAGAUAUCACGCAGAACCCCGAUUGCGAAGGCAGCCUUCCGGCGCCCUACAGACGCUGAGGCACGAAAGUGCGGGGAUCGAACAGG
rnacentral:rRNA from 1 species